rnacentral:rRNA from 1 species
AUUGAACGCUGGCGGAAUGCUUUACACAUGCAAGUCGAACGGCAGCACGGGGGCAACCCUGGUGGCGAGUGGCGAACGGGUGAGCAAUACAUCGGAACGUGCCCAGUCGUGGGGGAUAACGUAGCGAAAGUUACGCUAAUACCGCAUACGAUCUACGGAUGAAAGCGGGGGACCGUAAGGCCUCGCGCGAUUGGAGCGGCCGAUGUCAGAUUAGGUAGUUGGUGAGGUAAAGGCUCACCAAGCCGACGAUCUGUAGCUGGUCUGAGAGGACGACCAGCCAAACUGGGACUGAGACACGGCCCAGACUCCUACGGGAGGCAGAAGUGGGGAAUUUUGGACAAUGGGCGCAAGCCUGAUCCAGCCAUUCCGCGUGCAGGACGAAGGCCUUCGGGUUGUAAACUGCUUUUGUACGGAACGAAAAGGCUCUGGUUAAUACCUGGGGCUCAUGACGGUACCGUAAGAAUAAGCACCGGCUAACUACGUGCCAGCCGCCGCCGUAA